rnacentral:lncRNA from 1 species
AAGCUUUGCUACUGAAUCAUCAAAAAAUUGUACCUUGACACUCGUAAGCCCUUGAGACUCAGGAAAGCAUAGGAAGUAAACCUUGACGUCACCUGUUUGGGUUAAAACUGGACUUUGGGCUGAAGGAUGGAGUCAGCCCAACAAGAGGCCUGGAGGAAUAGAAGAUCAAGGCCCGGCCGAAACUUAGGAAGCAGGAAGGGGCCUUUUCUGACUUGAUACAAUUCAUAGAAGCCACUUGCUUACCUACCCAAGGACCAAGUGGUGUAGACUGAUCAGACUGCACAGCCCAUAAAGUACUUUAUGGUGGCAUUAUAUGUAAUAAAGUUGAUGAGUCAUCACCCUCAGACUGCAUUCGGGCAAAGCUGUCGCUACAGGAGCCAAACCGAGUCGUCUAUAAAAGGAGGAAGAGGAGACAGGAAUGAGGACACUCAAACAAACAAACAAAUGCAAGCCAAAACUCUGCUCAAAGCCAGAUUUGCCUUUCAAAACGAAGUUGUAGUCAGCCCAAGCCUUCAUCCCAUUAGGGACAAGCCUUUAUCCCCCGCGGGAUAACCUUUUCUUCUAACCUCUGUAAUAGCUCUGCUACCUUGUUCUAAACCUGUGGUAGUAUCGAUUCACCUUUUGUAUCCUCUAUCUCUCUCUCUCCCUCUAAGCUUUCAGACCUUUGACAAAACUACAAAGAUAGGGACCUGCAAGACGAUCAGCCUUAAUUGAUAAGGUUUAAUCUUG